GAUCUGGCUCAGGAUGAACGCUGGCGGCGUGCCUAAUACAUGCAAGUCGAACGCUUCACUUCGGUGAAGAGUGGCGAACGGGUGAGUAAUACAUAAGUAACCUGGCAUCUACAGGGGGAUAACUGAUGGAAACGUCAGCUAAGACCGCAUAGGUGUAGAGAUCGCAUGAACUCUAUAUGAAAAGUGCUACGGGACUGGUAGAUGAUGGACUUAUGGCGCAUUAG
rnacentral:rRNA from 1 species